UGAAGAAUUGUUUAUUUGAGUUUUUUAGGCCUUAGGCCUGUACGAGGUUAGAGACCCUUUCUUUAAGUUGUCUCUAGGCAAAAACACUCAGCAAGGUUUUCCCUAUAAGGAAGAAAAAAACCCAUCAUCUACCUUUUGAGCUGAUGGCUCGUGGAACCCGAAUUACAGAUUUGACUCCUAUGUAGCAGAACUGUUUGUUUAAACAACUCCUUAUUCCGGGUAAUUUCCUUAGAGAGUUAAUGUCUUUUGAUUCUAAGGCCUUAGGCCUGUACGAGAUUAGAGACCCUUUCUUUACCAGUUGUCUCUAGGGCUUGUAUGAAUUUGAGACUUUUUCUUUAACAGAUGUCUCUGGAGUAAAAGGCCUGUACGGGAUUAGAGACCCUUUCAUUAACAGGUGUCUCUAGGGUUCUCCUGCCCUCAGGAUCCUGGUCUGAGUCCUAGAACCUUAAUAUUUCAACCUCUAUGGUUGGUGGAGAGAAGAGAUUGAAAAUACAAGACAAAACAUUCAU